GAUGAACGCUGGCGGCGUGCUUAACACAUGCAAGUCGAACGAAGCACUUUAAUUGAUUUCCUUCGGGACUGAUUAUUUUGUGACUGAGUGGCGGACGGGUGAGUAACGCGUGGGUAACCUGCCUUGUACAGGGGGAUAACAGUUGGAAACGGCUGCUAAUACCGCAUAAGCGCACAGCAUCGCAUGAUGCAGUGUGAAAAACUCCGGUGGUAUAAGAUGGACCCGCGUUGGAUUAGCUAGUUGGUGAGGUAACGGCCCACCAAGGCGACGAUCCAUAGCCGACCUGAGAGGGUGACCGGCCACAUUGGGACUGAGACACGGCCCAAACUCCUACGGGAGGCAGCAGUGGGGAAUAUUGCACAAUGGGCGAAAGCCUGAUGCAGCGACGCCGCGUGAGCGAAGAAGUAUUUCGGUAUGUAAAGCUCUAUCAGCAGGGAAGAUAAUGACGGUACCUGACUAAGAAGCACCGGCUAAAUACGUG
rnacentral:rRNA from 1 species